GCAACGACGGUGAGAUUUCACGCCUGACGCUG
rnacentral:scRNA from 1 species